AGAGUUUGAUUAUGGCUCAGGAUGAACGCUAGCGGCAGGCUUAACACAUGCAAGUCGAGGGGCAGCGGGGAGGAAGCUUGCUUUCUCCGCCGGCGACCGGCGCACGGGUGAGUAACACGUAUGCAACCUGCCCCUGUCAGGGGGACAACCCGCCGAAAGGCGGGCUAAACCCGCGUACAUGCCACCGGGGCAUCCCGGAGGCAGGAAAGGCUUCGGCCGGACAGGGAUGGGCAUGCGGCGCAUUAGGCAGUAGGCGGGGUAACGGCCCACCUAACCGACGAUGCGUAGGGGUUCUGAGAGGAAGGUCCCCCACACUGGUACUGAGACACGGACCAGACUCCUACGGGAGGCAGCAGUGAGGAAUAUUGGUCAAUGGUCGGGAGACUGAACCAGCCAAGCCGCGUGAGGGAGGAAGGUACAGAGUAUCGUAAACCUCUUUUGUCAGGGAACAAAGGCGGGGACGUGUCCCCGGAUGAGUGUACCUGAAGAAAAAGCAUCGGCUAACUCCGUGCCAGCAGCCGCGGUAAUACGGAAGAUGCGAGCGUUAUCCGGAUUUAUUGGGUUUAAAGGGUGCGC
rnacentral:rRNA from 1 species